UCCUACGGGGGGCAGCAGUGGGGAAUAUUGCACAAUGGGGGGAACCCUGAUGCAGCAAUGCCGCGUGAAGGAUGAAGGUUUUCGGAUUGUAAACUUCUUUUGUACGGGACGAAGAAAGUGACGGUACCGUAAGAAUAAGCAUCGGCUAACUCCGUGCCAGCAGCCGCGGUAAUACGGGGGAUGCGAGCGUUAUCCGGAUUUAUUGGGUUUAAAGGGUGCGUAGGCGGCGCUUCAGGUCAGCGGUGAAAUACCGGGGCUCAACCCCGGGGCUGCCGUUGAAACCGGAGCGCUAGAAUUCCGAUGCC
rnacentral:rRNA from 1 species